rnacentral:rRNA from 1 species
CCUACGGGAGGCUGCAGUGGGGAAUAUUGCACAAUGGGCGCAAGCCUGAUGCAGCCAUGCCGCGUGUGUGAAGAAGGCCUUCGGGUUGUAAAGCACUUUCAGCGGGGAGGAAGGCGUUAAGGUUAAUAACCUUGUCGAUUGACGUUACCCGCAGAAGAAGCACCGGCUAACUCCGUGCCAGCAGCCGCGGUAAUACGAAGGGUGCAAGCGUUAAUCGGAAUUACUGGGCGUAAAGCGCACGCAGGCGGUCUGUCAAGUCGGAUGUGAAAUCCCCGGGCUCAACCUGGGAACUGCAUUCGAAACUGGCAGGCUAGAGUCUUGUAGAGGGGGGUAGAAUUCCAGGUGUAGCGGUGAAAUGCGUAGAGAUCUGGAGGAAUACCGGUGGCGAAGGCGGCCCCCUGGACAAAGACUGACGCUCAGGUGCGAAAGCGUGGGGAGCAAACAGGAUUAGAUACCCCGGUAGUC